rnacentral:rRNA from 1 species
CCUACGGGACGCAGCAGUGGGGAAUAUUGCACAAUGGGCGCAAGCCUGAUGCAGCGACGCCGCGUGAGCGAAGAAGUAUUUCGGUAUGUAAAGCUCUAUCAGCAGGGAAGAAAAUGACGGUACCUGACUAAGAAGCUCCGGCUAAAUACGUGCCAGCAGCCGCGGUAAUACGUAUGGAGCAAGCGUUAUCCGGAAUUACUGGGUGUAAAGGGAGCGCAGGCGGCGUGGCGAGUCAGAUGUGAAAACCCGGGGCCCAACCCCGGGAGUGCAUUUGAAACUGCCAUGCUGGAGUGCCGGAGAGGUAA